rnacentral:rRNA from 1 species
UUUUAAUAGGAGGCUUGUAUGAAGGGUCGGACAAAGGAUAAGCUGUCUUUAUUUUUAUUUUUGAAUUUGUCUUUUAAGUGAAAAGACUUAAAUUAUUUUAAGGGACGAUAAGACCCUAUAAAUCUUUAUAUUAAUAUAUUUUCAUUUUAAUUUUUAAUGUUUAUAAAGGAGAAGAUAUAAGAAUAUUGUGUUGGGGAGGUGAGAAUAUUAAAUAAACUGUUCUAAAAAAAAACAAAGUUGUUUGGAAUUAUAAUAGAUCCUUUUUAAAGAUUAAAAGUUUAAGUUACUUUAGGGAUAACAGCGUUAUUUUUUUUGAGAGUUCUAAUCGAAAAAAAAGUUUGCGACCUCGAUGUUGAAUUAAAAUUUUCUUUAUAAUGCAGCCGUUAUAAGAGAGAGUCUGUUCGACUUUUAAAGUUUUACGUGAUCU